rnacentral:rRNA from 1 species
CAGGGAGGUAGUGACAAGAAAUAACAAUACGGGGCUUGAAGUCUUGUAAUUGGAAUGAUGGGAAUUUAAACCCCUUCCAGAGUAUCAAUUGGAGGGCAAGUCUGGUGCCAGCAGCCGCGGUAAUUCCAGCUCCAAUAGCGUAUAUUAAACUUGUUGCAGUUAAAAAGCUCGUAGUUGAAUUUCUGCUGCAUCGUGGUUCUUCGCUAUGUCGAGUGAUCUUCGUUGUGGCUUAGUUGGGGCAUGUUUUCAUGACUCGACGUUUACUUUGAGAAAAUUAGAGUGCUUCAAGCAGGCUUUUGCCUUGAAUACUUUAGCAUGGAAUAAUGGAGUAGGACUUUGGUUCUAUUUUGUUGGUUUUAGGAGCCGGAGUAAUGGUUAAUAGGAACAGUUG